AUUAAACGCUGGCGGCAUGCCUUACACAUGCAAGUCGAACGGCAGCACGGGGCAACCUGGCGACGAGUGGCGAACGGGUGAGUAAAGCAUCGGAACGUGCCCUGGAAUGGGGGAUAACGUAGCGAAAGUUACGCUAAUACCGCAUAUACUGUGAGCAGGAAAGCAGGGGAUCGCAAGACCUUGCGUUCGAGGAGCGGCCGAUGUCGGAUUAGCUAGUUGGUGGGGUAAAGGCCUACCAAGGCGACGAUCCGUAGCGGGUCUGAGAGGAUGAUCCGCCACACUGGGACUGAGGCACGGUCCAGACUCCUACGGGAGGCAGCAGUGGGGAAUUUUGGACAAUGGGCGCAAGCCUGAUCCAGCCAUGCCGCGUGAGUGAAGAAGGCCUUCGGGUUGUAAAGCUCUUUCGGUUGGGAAGAAAUUGCUUCGGAUAAUACCCGGAGUAGAUGACGGUACCAGCAUAAGAAGCACCGGCUAACUACGUG
rnacentral:rRNA from 1 species